GACGAACGCUGGCGGCGUGCUUAACACAUGCAAGUCGAACGGAAAGGCCCGGCGUUUGUGGGGUGCUCGAGUGGCGAACGGGGGAGUAACACGUGAGUAACAUGCCCUUGACUGUGGGAGAACUUCAGGAAACAGGGGCGAAUACCGGAUAGGAGCUCCUGCUGCACGGUGGGGGUUGGAAAGUUUCGGCGGUUGGGGAUGGACUCGCGGCUUAUCAGCUGGUUGGGGGGGUAGUGGCUUAACAAGGUUUCGAAGGGUAGGCGGCCUGGGAGGGUGACCGGCCUCAUUGCGCCUGCGGUACGCCCCAGUCUCCUACGUGACGCAGUGGUCGGGAAUAUUACACAAUGAGCGCACGUGUGUGACGGCGGCGUUGCGUGCGUAAUGCCGGCCUUUGGGUUGUAAACCGCUUUCGACUGUACCGUGGCGUUAUUGACGGUAAUGGGUAAAGAAGCACCGGCUAACUACGUG
rnacentral:rRNA from 1 species